UCGAGGAUCUUCGGCAAUGGGCGCAAGCCUGACCGAGCGACGCCGCGUGUGCGAUGAAGGCCUUCGGGUUGUAAAGCACUGUCGAGGGGGAGAAAAGCCGAAAGGUCUGAUCUAUCCCUGGAGGAAGCACGGGCUAAGUUCGUGCCAGCAGCCGCGGUAAGACGAACCGUGCGAACGUUGUUCGGAAUCACUGGGCUUAAAGGGCGCGUAGGCGGGCUGCCAAGUCUGGGGUGAAAUCCCACGGCUCAACCGUGGAACUGCCUCGGAUACUGGCGGCCUCGAGGGAGGUAGGGGCAUGCGGAACUGUGGGUGGAGCGGUGAAAUGCGUUGAUAUCCACAGGAACUCCGGUGGCGAAGGCGGCAUGCUGGACCUCUUCUGACGCUGAGGCGCGAAAGCCAGGGGAGCAAACGGGAUUAGAUACCCGGGUAGUCC
rnacentral:rRNA from 1 species